UAUGUAUUAAGUUUGUAUUCUGUUAACAUUAUUAUAUACGGUUUGAAGAUCAGGCACGAAAUAUUCCCAUUUAAGUCUGAAUUCUGAAUUCUGGAGAUAAUCUAAGUACAAUUACUGUUUCUUGUGAAUGAAGUUACAUUGGUGUUGGUCAGGAGGAAGAAGUGCAAUUGUUCUACUACUUCAUCAAGUCUGAGAGGAACCCAGAAGAAGACCCACUUGUUCUCUGGCUAAGUGGAGGACCUGGCUGCUCUUCCAUCUCUGGCCUUCUUUUUGAGAAUGGGCCUCUGGCUAUGAAGCUUGAUGUUUACAAUGGAACUCUCCCUUCUUUGGUCUCUACUACAUACUCAUGGACGAAGUGGUGAUCACGAUAGGACAGUGCCUUACCUUGGAACUCAAGCUUGGAUCAGAUCUCUCAACUACUCAAUCGUUGAUGAUUAGAGGCCAUGGAUGAUCAACGAUGAAAUAGCUGGAUACACAAGGACUUAUGCAAAUAAUAUGACAUUUGCUACUAUCAAAGCAAGUCAUUCCUCUUUCUUUUUUGAUGUUUUCUUGCUUCCCACUCAACAUUUUUAAUGCGGUUGAACUCAAUAGAGUUGUGGGUUUUGGUUUAUAGGGAGGUGGACACACAGCAGAGUUUAAACCAGAGGAAAGCUCCGUCAUGUUUCAAAGGUGGAUCAAUGGCCAACCUCUGUAAAAUAAGAGAGUGGCCUUUACCUAUAAAAGAGAAGAGAUUGUGAUUCUCUAAUGUUCAAUCAAAGUGUGUGUGUACAUUUCCUAGCACACACCUUCUCCAUAUAUAAAGAGGCUUGGCCUUUAUGUCACUUUGAACUAAACUGAGUAAGCUUCUAUGAGACAUUAAAUCUUGAA